rnacentral:rRNA from 1 species
AAUCGGGAUUUCACACGGCCGUGUGGAAUUUCCACAUGCCCGUGUGAAGUUGCUGUUUUGCUGAUUUUUGGCAGACAGUGAACAGUAACUUGCUACAUUGCUGCUACAGUACUUGUGCCGAAAUGCUCCCGAAUUCGUCGUUCUUCAUUGAGGCCGUUGAAAUGGGUACACAAUCAACUGUAGAUCGUGCCGAUUGCUUCAAGUCUCCUAAUUUGUGAAGUUCUCCUUGUUAGCACGAGCUAGACUUAGUGUGAAUGUGACUGCCUUUGUGCCCCUCCAAAGGAGGUUGGCACACACUCACAAGUAUAUGCUCAUGCCUUGUUCCUUGCUUGGUGCGAAAAUCUCCCCAACAACGGCAAACAUGAUCUAACUUCGUUCCUUUUCUCCAAUUUACCUUCACAACCCUACGAUGCACAAAAGUAAACAAAUGCCCACUUUUUAGUGAUAAAAUCUGAUUAAAUCAAUGCUCAUUGCAAGAUAAUAACACUUCGCAUUACUAUAACAUGAACACUUAUCAAGGGGCAGAAGAAAUUUUCGGUGGAGCGAUGAAAUGCGUAGAGAACACUAACAGUGAAAGCACUCUUCUUGGCCGAUACUGACAUUGAGAGACAAAAGCUAGGGGAGCAAAUGGGAUUAGAUACCCCACUAAUUUUAGCCGUAAACAAUGGAUACUAGGCACUGUUUGUAUUGACCCAUGUAGUGUUAUAGAUAACGUGUUAAGUAUCCCGCCUGGGGAGUACAUUCGCAAGAAUGAAGCUCAAAGGAAUUGACGGGGGCUAGCACAAGCUAUGGAGCAUGUGGUUUAAUUCAAUACAAAGGGAAGAACCUUACUGGGGCUUGACAUGCUGCAAAUCCUCUUGAAAGAGAGGGGUGCCCUUGGGAACACGAACACAAGUAGUGCAUGACUGCCAUUAUCUCGUGCCAUAAGGUGUUGGGUUAAGUCCAGCAAUGAGUGCAACCCUCAUGUUUAGUUACCACCAUUGAGUUUGGAACCCCGAACAAACUGCCAUUGAUAAGCUAGAGGAGGGUGAGGAUGACGUCAAGUUAUCAUGUCCCCAAUACACUGGGUGCACAUUGCUACAAUGGGGAGGGGGGGACAAUGGGUCGCUAUCCUGCGAAGGUGAGCUAACUCCAAAAACCCAUCCUCAGUUUGGAUUGCAAGCUACAACUCGCUUACAUGAAGUUAGAAUCGUUAGUAAUCACCGAUCAGCCAUACGACGGUGAAUUCAUUCAUAGUCCUUGUACACAUCGUCUGUCACACUAUUAGAGCUGGCCAUGCCUGAAUUCGUUACCUUAAUCACAAGGAGGGGGAUGCCGACGGCGGGGCUAGUAACUGGAGUAAAGUCGUAACAAGAUAGCCAUAUUGGAAGGUGCAGCUG